UCGGCUUAAUAACACGCGUAAAUCAUAAUAUACAUCAGUAUCCUCUGGUCCCAAAAACGUUAUUGCUGUACCAGAUUUUCCUGCACGACCUGUACGACCAAUUCUAUGGGUAUAGUCUUCAAUGCUUUUAGCCAUGUUGUAAUUCAAUACCAAAGAGACAUUAGGUAUAUCAAUACCACGACCUGCAAUGUCAGUUGCAACAAGAAUAUCAGCCGUCUUAUUCCUUAACUGUUCGAUAGCUCGCUCUCUCUGUUCU